GCACCUCUCAGCAACCCUAUCGAUUCUGUUGGUGUUUGAUACGGGCAGUAGUGGUGCAAUAAAGAUUCAAUGCAAGUCCAGACGGACCUCCUCCUCCUGUGGAGUCUGUCUCUACAACUUUGAUACACAA
ensembl:snoRNA